CGCAGCCGCGGUAAUUCCAGCUCCAAUAGCGUAUAUUAAAGUUGUUGCAGUUAAAAAGCUCGUAGUUGAAUUUCGGGAUUGACGUGACGGUCGUGCCUUAAGGGGUAUGAACUGUCGCAGUUGAUUUCUCACCUUCUGGAGAAGCUUGAUGUCCUUAAUUGGGUGUCAUGUGGAACCAGGACCUUUACCUUGAAAAAAUUAGAGUGUUUAAAGCAGGCAUUUUGCUCGAAUACAUUAGCAUGGAAUAAUAGAAUAGGACGGCAUGGUUCUAUUUUGUUGGUUUCUAGGAUCACCGUAAUGAUUAAUAGGGAUAGUUGGGGGCAUUAGUAUUCAAUUGUCAGAGGUGAAAUUCUUGGAUUUAUUGAAGACUAACUACUGCGAAAGCAUUUGCCAAGGAUGUUUUCAUUAAUCAAGAACGAAAGUUAGGGGAUCGAAGACGAUCAGAUACCG
rnacentral:rRNA from 1 species